AAUGAACGUUGGCGGCGUGGAUUAGGCAUGCAAGUCGAGCGGAAAGGCCCGCAAGGGCACUCGAGCGGCGUAAGGGACAGUAAUGUGUAGGUACGUACCCCCGGGUCUAGGAUAGCUGCGGGAAACUGCAAUUAAUACUAGAUAACGUCUCCGGACCAAAGGUGUGAUUCCACCUGGGGAGCGGCCUACAUCCUAUUAGCUAGUUGGCGAGGUAAUGGCUCACCAAGGCGAAGAUGGGUAGCAGGUGUGAGAGCACGACCUGCGUCACUGGGACUGAGACACUGCCCAGACACCUACGGGUGGCUGCAGUUGAGAAUCUUCGGCAAUGGGCGAAAGCCUGACCGAGCGACGCCGCGUGUGGGAUGAAGGCCUUCGGGUUGUAAACCACUGUCGGAGGGGAUGAAGUGUUAGUGGGUUCUCCCAUUAACUUGACUGAUCCUCGGAGGAAGGGUGGGCUAAGUUCGUGCCAGCAGCCGCGGUAAGAC
rnacentral:rRNA from 1 species